rnacentral:lncRNA from 1 species
UACACUUUUUUGUUUUAGGGAGUUGAUUUUGCCAAAUCUCUUGGAAAGAGAACCAGGAUUCCCAUAAACAGAAUUUUGGGUAUGAGAUUUAGCAACUCUGUUGGUGAUAAUAUUAGUAGACAUCAGUUAAUCCUGACUUCACAUAAUUUUACCUGGCUGACUCAUCUGCUCGUCGUUCCAACUUCCAACCUGUAUUAAAUCGACAGGCCAUUCGUUUGGUUCAAAGGACCAUUUCUUGUCGCGGUAAUAUGACCAAACUGAGUCUUAAUCGAGAGGUUCGCGUUUGAUUAUUUCAGUAGUAUCUCUAUUUUACAUUUUGUUCGACAUCGCCAAUUACGAGUUUUCAAAACAAUAUAAAUUUAUUUCUCACUAUAAAUUAACAGUUGUCGAUUUGAAAAUGCAAACAAAAAAACAAACGAAGUACUUCAUAGAGAUAUAGCGGCGGUUCUUGCAAGUGAGAUCCAAUCUCAAACAAUCCAAAAGCCUAAAUCAGCAAAAAAAAAAAAGACAAAAUUGCUCUGGCCAUAAAUCUGAGCCCAAAAUCAAGACCCAAUCAAAACAAAAACAAAAGAUUGCUCUGGCCAUAAAUCUGAGCCCAAAAUCAAGACCCAAUCCAAACAAAAGAUACAAUCAAGAAAGUGGAUGUAGCAGCUUGUUCGAGGCCGUCACAAAACAGAGAAAAUCUGAGCGGCACGGAGAACUGCGUUUGUUCGUUGUCGCCAACCUUCAAUGCAAAGAUAGCCACUGCAUCUGGCCCCUUUGCUCUGCAAAUUGGCUUUCUUCCUGAUGAUUCCUACAACCCCAAUUCCAAAUACUACAAGAAACCCAACACAUCCAAAAUCUACCCAGAUCAGCAACUCGUUUCGGCUCAAUGGCAAACGAAAGAAAUCACAUAAACAAGUUGCCUGACUGACUGAAACAACACAAAAAAUGGAAAAACAGAUCAGACAAGGCAAGAACCGAUGGAAGAUUCACCAUGGACAGAAGGAAGAUCCAAAUACGAGACGCGAAGCAAUGGAGGCGGAGCAGUGCGGGGGAGGCGGGACGAUGGAUUGACGGUGGCUUGGAGGAGCUAUUUAAAUAGGGGGCAGGUGGGUUGAGAGAGCGAAACCCUAAUCCUCUUGUGCGGUUCCAGUUGGGCUAGAUGGGCUUUCUCAUGGCCCAGAUAGCUAAAACGAAAUUAUGGGCUCGGUAUUCUCUACCAGUAGAGAAAGAGCGGCAGGCGGAUUUACGAUGGAAUUCUUUGGAUUUUUUUUAUUUUCAUUUUUUAUUAAAAUAUUUUAUCUCUACUAUGAAGAACGUAUUACCUCCAUACCAAAAUAAUUGCAAUUCUAUAUUGUUUAGCAUAUAUUAAGGUUUGAGAAGAAAGACUAUGGUGCCCCUCAUUAAAUGGUGUUUAUGCGAGAGUGGGAAGAUGGUUGAGGGUAAAAUAGGGAGAAAUUUGAAUGAGAGAUGAUUGAUGGGGCAAUUAGUACUAUAGAAUUGCAAUUAUUUUAGGACAAAUUUUGAAUCCUAGAAAUACAAUUAUUUUGGGACGGAGGUAGUAUUAUCUUAACUAACUUUUUUAAUUAAUCGUCACUUUUCUGUUUCGUCCGUUUUUCGUUCGUCACAUCAAAUUUGACUAGAUCUAGCGUCCGCUUUGUUCACGAUCCCCUCCACCCUCCGUACUUCCUUCGUCAGUCUCUCCUAAAAAAGGGACCGAAUCUAACCCCGUCCGUCCUAUAUAAAAUUUAGGAAUAAGUUCACUUUGGGUCCUCUAUUUGUCGCCCAGUCCGAUUUUCGUCCUUAGAUAGCAAAACCAGGUACGACCCGUCCUUCAACGAAAACCAAGCAAACAAGAUCUCUCGGUGGUUUUGAAGGUGGUUUUGGCUAACGUGACGCCUACGUGGCUUGUUUGACUACUCCUCCGUCCCACGUGUCAUUGACGUGGCGCUUACGUGGCAAUUAUAUCUCGAAGAAAUAAUAAACCAUAGGCCCACCUGUUAGCUACACACAAAAGAAUAAUUUAAAAAUAGCAGGGCCCACGUGGGCCCACAUGUCAGCGUCAAAACAAUAAAUAUGGUGAGGCCCAUGAUGUCUUCUUAAUUGGGGUUAAUUACCACUACUAAUAUGCCCGUGCUAAACGCUACGGUGCAAUUCCAUUAUCUUUAAUAACUUUUAAAGUUUCAUGUUAGGAAAAAAAAUAUAUGAUAUGUUCACCGUAUCAGCUCAACUUUCUAUAUUUUCCCCCUCCCUGUUAAUAUUUACCUCUCUAUCUGUCCGGAUUCAAUUUUUUCCUCGGUAUAAUCAAGCUGUGGAGCUGUGUUCUCCAGAAAGAAAUCCCUCCCACCACAUGUAAAAUGGAACGAUGAAUUAACACAAUUAGCUAAAAAAAACUUUAAAAAUGGAUUAAUAUAUAUAUUUAAAAAAUGCCCCGUCUAAUAGUUUAAGAAGUGUGCACGCAUGACCUUUCGACGACAAAGAGACAGCGUGAGUGCAAUUUGGAGAGACGGGGGCGGUGGCGCUUUAGGCAGCCGCGCGUUGCUGGAGAUCAGCAGGAGGGAUGGCGGCGUGACUACAGAUUGACCUCUGACCAUCAAAUUAAAUAUGAAUAACUCAUCAUCUCUUUGAAACAAGGGGCGCUUCUGGUUUUGUGCGUGCUUGAAACCACUUUGUAUUCUCCAUAUUACCAUAUCUAUAGAACCUUGUGGUGUACAAAAACCGAUCCAAAGAACAUCUGCCUGGGUUCAUCUGGUGCCCAACAUAGUUCUUUCGAAAUUGUUACAGGUCAUUAAAUGAUGACAUGAGCACUGAUUGCAGCUAUCGAUGCCUCAAAAAAUCCUAAGCUAUUAUUAGAGGGGCAUCAAGCAUACAGAGUAAUGUUGAAAGGAGAGGCUAAGUGGCUAUGGAGAAGAGAAAUUCCACUGACCGCUUCUUCAUCGUCAAUCUCCAGCCACCGCUGGCCUUCGUGAGCCAUUUUGCCGCUUCGCCCACAGUUGUCCAGCAGGAACUCAACCGCUGGGCGCUACCAGUCGUCGCACAACCAUCUCGGUCGGAAGUGCUGGGUUGCUUCUAACUAAAAUUACUAAAGAAAAUCUGGUCAUGAAUUGCACAACUUGAAGUCCAUGUUAAAGAGGCCAAAUCAGUAUGGUUUUUAUAUUUUAUUCUUUGGCUUCAUAAUACACUAGAGAGUUGAGCAUGACGAUAUUAACUAAAUGAGCCUUUAUCAUCUGGGCGUGGUAUAUAUGCUUUUUAUAUAAGAUAAAAAAAUGUUCUUUAAUUACAACUAUCUACAUAUCUCAAUGUCUACUUGGGUAACACGCAGCAUUCUAGCUGAACAAUAUCCUUCCAAGCUCAAACUAAUCAUCAGAAAGGACGAAUGAAAAUAAUUUGUUCCUUAAUAUAUCUAUUUUCUCAUGAUCAAGAACAACUUUAAUAUUUAUGUUGAAAUCGAUUACCAGAUAAUAACCUGCAGCGCAUCUAAUGGCAAUAUGGGUUUCAUAACAUCAAAAGAUAUCGGGUUUGGAAAUGUUUCACCCAAACAUCCUGAUGAAAUGCAUUGAUGCAUGGUGGGGUGAGAAAGGCUAGCUUUUGGGGUGAGAAAGACCCUUUACGAUCCUACAGCUACUACCACGUGCGACACUGAUGAUUGAUAGUUUGUCUAAUUAAUUGUAUACCCUGUGUCAAUUUGUGGAACACUUUGAUCGACAUUAAAACCAUAGAGAUUUUUUCCUCCAUUAAUUCUUUCCGCGCUUAAAAUAUGGAGAUUGUACAUAUGUAAGGGCAAAUUGCUAGUGAAAAUAAACAUAUGAUGAAAACAGGUAUCCUAGUGGACACACCGAGUUAAUUAGUCUCAGAAUUCCUAGUGGACACAGGAGUGUGUAGCCAAAGCACCCUUAAACAUAAACAUCAAAGCAAAUCAAUGUUAACUCCAAUACCAAUACUGCGCUACAUUAUUGAAUAUCCAUUUGCUACUUCCUCUGUCCAAAAUUAUAGUUAUUUCUAGAGUUUAAAUUUGUUCUAAAAUAUAACAAUCUCUCCACCUACCCUCUUAUAUAUCUAAACCAAACAUAGCAUCUCUUACUUAUUUUCUGCGCCUGCUUAUUUUUCUCAGCCAAUCAUCAUUCAAUAUUUCAAAUUCACCUACUCAUUUAAUUCCUUUAAAAAGUGCAUCUCCAUGUAUCAAAUUAGCGUGUGUUUGGUUCAAGAGAUAGGAUGAGUUGAGUUGGGUCGAACUUAUUUUUGAGGAUGUUUGGUUUAAAUAUAAGUGGGAUGGGAUGGUCGCUGAAAAGUAAGUCUCCAAUCCAAUCCAUUUUUCUCGCUCACUAAUAUGUGGGUAAUCCUUAAAAUUAGGAUCAUCUCAUCCCCGUACCAAACGGAAAGAUGGGACAUUCCCAUCUAAAACAGAGAUGAGUAUAACCCAUCCAACUUCAUUAAAAAAAGUGUCUUGCUUUUCAUUUACAAGGAGCAAGACCACGACACAGUCCUUAGGUGGUUCGUGCUCCUGCCAAUAAUGAAAUAAAGCUCACUUUCAUAACUUGACCAUACUAAGACAUUCAACAGGGUCAUCACAUUACGAUAUAGCUGGUUAAGCGGGCUGCCUGGCCCAGCAAGGCAUGGGCUCGCCGACGACGACCAGCUAUGGUUCGACUCUUGUAGCGAGCCAUGUUGUGCCAACUCACGUGCUGAAUCCACGGCAUAGAAGAGGGCUAUGAAAAAGUUUAGGAAAAAGUCCACCAAAGGUCCCUCAACUUGUCAUCGGGUUACAAAAUUAUCCCCCAACCGUAAAACCGGAUACAACGCAUCCUCCGACUUAUAAAACCAGUGCAAAGUAGAUCCCUUGGUGGUUUUAAUCCCGGUUUUGUCCCACGUGGCUGCCAAGUCACCGUGGGACCCAUGUAGGCCCCACAUCUCAGGAUGCCACGUCAGCAACUACUCUCUUUUCCCCUCUCCUCUUUCUCUGUUUCUCUCCUUCCUUCCUUCCUUCCUUCCUCUCGCCUCUGCUCUCGCACAGGCGGCGGCGCGCGCGGCCCGCGGCCUGAGGGUGGUGUGGCCGGUGGCGGCGCGAGCUCGCCGGCCUCCGCGUCCCCCUCGUGCGGUCGAAGAUGGUGGCGCGCAGCUGUGGCCAGCAGGGGAGGCGGAGGAGGUACGAGCGGACGCCCUCGCCACCGAUGACGAGGUCCGUGCUGCUCACUAGCUCGCACGCCUCGUCGUCGUCGACGCUAGCCACCUCAGUCCGGUCCGGCCGCCGCCCACCGGUCAUAAUCCUUUCUUGCUUUUCUCUUUUCUUCCUCUCUUUCUUGCGGCCGCAGGUAGACGACGCAGUUGAGUGCCAUGAUUUGCGCCGCCAUCCCCCACAGCUGUCGUAGCUCCGACGCCACCGAUGGCAGUCCUCCCCGUCCUCAUCCAUCCACCGCGCCCAUACUGCCGACACCGACGGCUCGCUUGCUCCCGCGUCGCCCGUCAUCAGCCCCGGACCUCCUCCGCACCCGCGACCGUAGGCGAGGAGGCCGACGGCGAGCACGCGCGCGAAGAUGGUAUGUUCUUCACGACUUCACCGGUGCAUAAGCUUUUGAAACUCCAUACCUGGUGCAAUGCAAACAAGAUGGAUGAUAAACUCUUUACUCGCUGAUACCUGAUCUUUGCAGUAAUGAAAUGCACAAGGUCAGUAAAACACUUAAUCAUUUAAGGAUGAGAAAGAUUUGUUCUGGAACUAUGCUUUCCCCUUUUUUUUUUUUCUCAGGUUUGUUCCAUGCAUGUAGCUGCUUUCAGAUUUCACCGUUCUUUAGAGUAGUUUUCAGUUCCACGGUAAAUCUCAAAUUCCAACUAAGAGUUCACAGCUUCUCGUGAUUAGCAUCCUAGUUUGAACGUAUACGUGCCAUUUUAAUGUUGUGUGACAAUAAUUCAGAGCAAAAGACUGCCAAAGUUAUAAACUAUAUAUAUCACAGUCUUUCACCGCUAAUGAUGGAGGCAAAUAGCAGCGGAGAGGAUGGGUGCUUCACUGCUUCCUUUUUUUUUAGCAGUGUAUGCUGUACUAGCAGCGCUUUGUUUGUUGCUGUCGCCGCCCCCGCUUCAAUCCCUCCCGUGACUCACCGGACUGGCACCACGUGAAGAGGAAGGAGGCGGGGCCGACGAGGGGGACGGGGAAACCGGAGAGCUCACCUGCUUCCCUGGCCCUGGGCCUGCCCCAUCCUCCCCGUCGUCGCCCACGCCCAACUCCUCUCCACCGGCCGCUGCCCAUUGCGCCUCUCCGCCCGGCGCCGGACGACAACUUGGUGAUGGCGGCAUGGGCCUCGCCCUCGAUGGCGGCGGCGAUGCAUCGUGCCUCGGCGGCGCCCAGGGGUAUCCCGCAUGCCUUGGCGUUGACGGCGAGGCGGCGCCCCACCAACCGGCCGGCCCGCCCAAGAGGAGAGAAGUGAGAGAGAGAGAGAGGGGAGGAAAAGGAGAGGAAGGGAAAAAGAGAGGGUGAUGACGUGGCAUCUGACAUGUGGGGCCUACGUGGGUUCCACGCUGAUUCAGCCGCCACGUCAGAUAAAACCAGGGUUAAAACCACCGAGGGACCCAAAAUAAACGGUUUUAUAAGUUAAGGGAUGUUAUAUAUCUGGUUUUGCGGUUGGGGGAUGAUUUUGUAACUCGAUGACAAGUUGAGGGACCUUUGGUGUACUUUUUCUAAAAGUUUAAAUAUAGAAAAACUGCUACAGGAGUCGUGUCCGUCCAUGCCCACAAGACCACAAGGCCCACAACGAGCUUUGGCGUAGGCUAAGGUACGGCCCAGAACAUCGCGUUCUCAUCUCAUGCCGUGCCGGAAAAAGUAUACUUUGACUCCCUCAACUAUCGCCCGAGUAUGAUUCAUGUCAUCCAACCACAAAACCAGGUAUAUCGACUUGUUCAACUAUCAAAACCGGUGCAAACAAUGCCCCUAGCUAGGUGGUUUUGGAUGACGCGGCGCAUACGUGGCGGUCUUGAUCGAAUCUUUGUCCUACGUGGCGCUUACGUGGCAUUAGAAUAAAAACAAAAAAAUAAAACGAAAUAUGUGGGAUCCAUAUGUCAUUCACACAAAUAAAGUAUUGUGGGACCCACUGACAUGUGGGACCCACAUGUCAUCCUCCUUCUCCUUCCCUUCUUCCUCCUCCCUUUCCCCCGCUCUCUCUCUCUUAUCUCUCUCUCCCCCGCCCUUUCUCUUCAGUGGGGAUGGCGGUGGGGAGCGGCGGCGGCAGCGGACGGGAGUGGAGGCCGUGGUAGGGAGCGGCAGCGGCGGCGGUGGCAGGGAGUUGGCACAAAUUUUUGUUUUGUUUUUUUUUUGUUUUUACUCUUGUGCCAGAUAAGCGACACGGUGGGACGAAGACCGGGUCAACACCAUCACGUGGGCGCCACGUCAGCCAAAACCGCUUCUAAAACCACACAAGGAUAUAGUUUGCAUCGGUUUUGAUAGUUGAAGGAGUCGAUAUGCCCGGUUUUGUGGUUGAAUGUCAUGAAUCAUAGUCAUAGUUGAGGGAGUCAAAGUAUACUUUUUCUGCCGUGCCCGACUGGCUACUGUAGCAUCAUAACUGGGCCAGCACAACCCAUUUGACCAGCUUUCCAUUGUGUCAUGUCACAGUACAAACCAGAGACACGAAAAGAUCGGAAAAUGCUUCAAUCCGGUCGACCGAUCUCCAAAAAAAAAAAAAUCGGACCUCUCACUAUGACUUUGAUGCAUGUGGCCUUUUUGUCAGAUCCUACAUAUGCUUCCUUACUGAGCAGCAUACAUGAAGGAGAAAGGACACGAGGUACUUGCAUGGAUAUAACACCCUUUUAGCAAACUUGAAAAUGAUUUUUCUUCUAGAUUACUUAUCCAAUUCAUGAUCCGAUUACAUCAUAGUAUUCGUUACAAUUAAAUCUUUACAACAAGAUCCCACAUGACUAUAUUAUAAUAAAAAACAUACAUAUGUUUCAACCAAAUAAAUUUAAUGUUUCACAUGUGAGAAUAAGAUGUUUUAGUUGACAUUUUGUUAUGUUGCAUAUAUUUAAUUAGUGUCGCAAUGUAUAUAUCUCUCUUUAUUGUAUCACAUGGUGCUAUUUGUAUGUUUCAGUAAGUAGUUUAUUAUCUUUCACUGGUUUAUUUGUAAAUGUUGCAUAUGUGUUGGUUGAGUGAUUCAAUAAGUAUUCACUAGUUAAUUAAAAAUAUUUCACAAGGUAUCAUUCAUAUGUUUCAGCAAAUAUUAAAAAUGUUGCGAAUAUUAUACGAUUGGAUUAUACUAUCAUAUUUGUUGUAAUUAAAUCUUUAUAACAAGGUCUCACAUGAUUACAUUCUGAUAAAUUUUAAUUUUAGCUUAUUUUUGUGUUGCGGUUGAUUUUUUUUGAAUGUUGCACACUAAUUUAUUUGGAUGCUCCAAUAAAUAUUUUCUGAUGUUUCUUUAGUUCAUUUUGCAAAUGUUGCAUGUCAUAUUAUGUAUAUGUUUCAGCAAGUGUUACUUUAUGUUUCAAUAGUUACAACUCGAUGUUUCAUAUACAUGUGCUAUAAAAAUAUUUCAAGAAAAUCAAGUCUUUGUAAAUAUAUAGUAUUUAUCAUACUAUUUUCUUUUGUGUUUCAUUUGUUAAGAUUCAAUGUUUCGUGUAGUAAUUAUUAGUGUUUCAAUGAUAUUAAAUAUUAUAUCUCUUUGAAACAUUAUUAGAAGCGAGUUGAAACAUUUGACCUCAAGUGCUGAAACAUUUUUUUAUAGCCGAUGAAACAACCGUGUGUAGCUACAUGCAUGCAGCAGAGCCAUGUGAAUAGCACACACUAACCCAAAGUAGCGUCCGAUUUUUCGUAAUCCAUCAGACGUCCGAUCCCUAGUUCUCUCCGAAAUGAUCCCACAGUACAAUCUGGAGCGAUGCAAAUUCAUCAGAAUCAAGAAAGACGUUCAAAGAUUAUCUUCAGACGACUACUGACAGGAUUUAACUUUUAUUGUCCAUGCACUUGCGCAAAAUUUACAAUGGAAUCGUAAAUUCUUCAUUUGUCCAUGCCCUUUUAAACUUUUGAACACCAAACAUUAUGCAUCUUCUAUUCCUGACUUCAUUGACUGGUCUCAGUGGUCUAUAUGUCAUUGCACCUGUAUGCCAAGCCAGAAGGUCAUUCGUUCGUUGUUUUAACAGUUUGUUUUUUUUAUAUCAGCUUGACAUUAAAAUGUAAAAAGAAAGGAAACUAUUAACAGUUGUCGACUUUCAAUGGCAAACAAAAAAAAUUGAAGCAAUGAAGAACUUUCGAUAUGCUGCGGGAAAAAAAAAAGAAGACUGCUCUAUCCAUAAAUGAAAAAUCCGAGUUCAAAAUCAAAACUUGAUCAAACAUCAGGAUGACAAGAAGAUCAAAUACAUAGUUUAAAAAGGGGAUGUAGCAGCUUGUUCGAGGCCGUCACAAAACAUAGGAAAAUCUGAGCGGCAUGGAGAACUGCAAUCGCGGCCGCCAACCUUCAAUGCAAAGAUCGGCACUUUAUCCGGCCCCUUUGCUCUGCAAAUUGGCUUCUUCUUGAUUCCUAAACCCCCAGUUUGUUCUUUCCCCUCCAGUUUCAAAUCCAACCAACACAAAUCCACCCCGAAUCAAACAAACAACACAUAACUCUUUCGUUUGAUCUAUCAAAAGGCAUCCAAUCUCUCGUUCCAAAGUCUUUCGUUUGAUCUAUCAAAAGGCAUCCAAUCUCUCCUUCCUUCGGAACGAGAAGAAACCAUAAACAUUAUGGGAAAAAAGAAAAGAAUAAGAUGCAAAGAUUCAUCACCCAUCCUGUGUUCCAUACCACAGGAGAAACAGGAUGAAAGAAACGAAAGAAAGAUGCAUGAUGAACAAGUUGUUUUUUUUUACCAGGAUGAUGAACAAAUUGUUGCUAUCUGGAUCGAUCGCAAAGCAAUCGAGGCGCAGGUGAGGCGGCGGAGGGAGGGAAAGAGAGACUCUGGAUGGAUUAUGAAGGUGGCUGGGUAUUUAUAGGGAAGCAAAGGUUGGCAAGCGAAACCCUAACCCUCAGGUGCAGAUUUAGUUGGGCCGGAUGGGCCUUUUCUGGACCAAUUCGUAAAGGAAUAAGUUCACUUUGACCAAUUCAGUUUUGCGGUUCAGGCUUAUGAAUCAGAUUCGGUUUACUUUUAAGGAAGUCAAAGUGAACUUAUUCUAUAUAAGUAAAGGGUUGAUAGGGUUCUAGGCUGCCUUGCUUCGCCGCCGCCAGUAUACUCUACGACCAAUUCAGAAGAGACUGCCGAGGGGAAGGGAAGGGUGGGGAGGGGAGACGAGGCAGAUGCAAGGCCUUUCAUGCUCGAUCCUUAGACGACUCGGUCGACGCUCUGUCGUAGGCUUCUUCAUCUGUUCUGCUCCGCCUAAAGCGGUUGCGCGACGAGCUGCUCUACUCAUUGCGACACCAUCAGCACUGCAGAGUCCACUUUCCCGGUUUUUUCUUGUCUCCUUCCGUUUCUUAAUUUAGAAAUUGAAUCCUGAGAGUUGAAUUUUUCAUGUAACAAUAUAUUUAUAUCUUGCUAAAUAAAAUGCCCGUGUGUUGCAACGGGUGAAGUUUAUUUUAAUCUUAUUAUUGUUAUAUGGUUUAGUUAAGAUGAAAUUCACUGUGGGAGUUCGCUUGGAUAUAUAUAUUUUUAGAAAAUCACGAGCUGUAGUUAGGAGUCCGAUCGUCUCAAGUUAACAUGCAAGUUUUUCUAAACAGAUUUCUUAUAUAGUUCCUUCUGUAUUAACAAAAGUGAACGAUAUUAAAAACCGACUCAAAUACGGAUAUGUAUUUUCAAAAGCAAACAAACUUAAAAACCGACUCAUACACGGAUGACGUACCAAAAUACCGGCAAAAACACCUUCAAUUUUUUUAAUAGUAGAGAUUUGAGCUGGAUGCUAAAGAUUGGCCUUUUUUUUUUUGUUCUUUUGUGCUAGAUUCGCUUUAGGACCCUGCAGUAUGCAACGCUAUUUGGGAUCUGAAAGUGAGAACAAGCCGGGUAAUAAGCGGGAUUGCACAACCACGGGGUUCCAACCUAGCAGGCUAGCAGCAAUCCCAUGAACUAAAUUCGGCUUGGUAGCAGCAACAAGAUUCACCUACCGAUUAAGGAUGUUACAGAGGGCAAUUACAAGGCUACGGAUGUUGAGGUUAUUGGGAGCAUUCACACUGUUGAUGAAGAUGUCUGGCAUCCAUACGUUUAUAUAUAUAGCAGUCACCGUGAUGAUACUAUAUACAAGAACGAGCGUUAUUGGGAUUCUGUUUUUUGUAUUGAUGUCACUAACCGUGAAGAGAGUAAGUGAUUCCAACUUCUUCUCCUGGCAUUUUGUUUUUACGAUUUUUUAGUGAUUUAAUUAAUAACUUUAGUCAUGGAUAAUUCUUAGUUCACCCUGGACCAUCAGAAUGUUAACAGCAUGGAGCAAAGCAUAGUUUACUUUGCAAUAUUUAUUUAUUUGUCUACUAAAAAUAGCUAACAAUAGUACCAAUGUGAUCUUUUCUUAAGCUCAAGUGGAGCCAAUGAGAUUCUCGGUGACUGAAAGAUGCAAACCCAAUCCGGAAAAUUGUCAGUACCAUUCGACUUGUGGGAUGAUGCAAGUUUUCUCACUGAAGUUGGCUAAAACUACUACAAACAGUAGCCCAAUACAGUUAUAUGGAUACAUUGCAGCACGAGAUGUUGUGGAUUCAAUGCUUAAUUUUGUUUUCAAUCGCAGCAGAGAUGAUCCCAUUGUUGUGCAGCAGGUACACACCUAUACUUAUCUGCAAUAAUUUUAUGAUACGUGCAUAGAAGACGUGUUUGAAAUAUUCAUACUUCUGAUAGCAUACAACCACUUAAUCUCUUAAAUUAUAAUAACAAGGAUAGACCAUCGAGUAUAAAGGAUAGAGAAUGGAUAAGUUUAUUCAUAGAGUUGUUCCUUAAAAUAAAUAGUUUAUAUUAUACAUAGAGUUGUUCCUUAAUACAUACUUUUUUUAUGUUGUACAUAGUUUAUAUUAUGUGAAUAUUUGCAAUUUUUUUACCAAAAUAUUUGCAUAUUUCAUAUGAAGUUAUCAAGAAAAUCUUGCAGCCGUUGCACAAGAAUCUCAGUUCCUUUUGGAUGCUGCAAAAUGAUCUGAAAAUUUAUUGCAUACCUCUCACCAAUGGCAUAAAUUAGAUGCUACCAAAUGUUUAUGUGUCCUAAUAUAAUCCCCCCAAAACUCCAAUUUUCUCCAGCUGGUAAGAUUAAACAUCCAGUAGCAUUACAAAGUCCAGUACUCUUAGAGCAAACAUGCAGCACCUAUAGAUUUCAGUGGUUCACAGUGCCUGCUAUACUUGGUACACUUUGUGCCAUUUCAAUUACCAGGUUUACACUAACAUCUCCUUAUUUGGUGUUUUAUCACUUUCUACACAAAAAUAAAUAUCUGUCCUGCACUAAAGAGAAACCUCUAUCCAGAUGAAAAAAGUACCGUCGCUUAUUUUAUUUCUCCAGUGUGUCCAUGCUCUUUGUAAUGAAGCUAGACUGAACUAUAGACGAACUAAAAUUGUGUAUCUGUGAUAUGGAUUGGUUCUUCAUCAUCCGCAGUCCUAGUCAUCACAACUCUUUCUUCUUUUGGACACAUAUGAACCAAGUUUUAGCUGUUUGGUGUACCUUUACAACAACCAACUAUUUUCCUUGUAAAUAAUUUCUUUUAUAUAAUACAACACUGCUGGGCAAGGUCUGGUAGUAAUUUUGAUUAAAAAAAGCAAUAACCAAAUCAAACAGAAUCCAUGCAUCAAUCUUUCUAAAUCAGAGAAGGCCACAAUGUAUCAAACAUGCACAGGGCAUGGUAUAGGCUGAGUUUGGUUGUUUACUUUCCCAACUCACCUAUUUCGUUUUUAAAGUUGCUUUAAAAAAAUCAUAUUAAUCUAUUUUUUUUAAAAAAAAGGUUGUUCCAUUUUGCGUGCGUGGAGUGUGAGUUCCCAACGCAGGGAACCGAGCACAGCCAUAAUCUUUUACAAGCAUGGUACAUCAUAAUCUCUAAACUUGUAGGACGUGUCAUCUACGUCCUGAACUCUUAAGUUGCAUUUUUGGAGACCUCUAAAGUUGUACGGAUGUGCCCUAUUGCGUUGCUCUUCUGUCACCCUACAUCCUAAUCCUCUGGAUUGAUUGGGUUACGACUUGCGAGGACGGUGUAUGUUGCAAACUUUGAUAGUUAUAAGAGAUUAAUGAACAAAAGUGCAAUGCAUUUCAUUCGUUAAUCACAGACCUGCCAUUUUUGCUGAUGUGGCACAGAGCAUAAAUAAAAUGAGCCUCGACAGAUUAGGAUUUCUAACAACUCACUCAAUGGCCUUAGGUCUUAGGUGGUGUUUGGAUCAGGGACUUAACUUUAGUAUCUGUAUUUAGACACUAAUUUAGAGUAUUUAAUAUAGACUACUUACAAAACUAAUUAUAUAAAUGAAACCUAAUUUGCGAGACAAAUUUUUUAAGCCUAAUUAAUCCAUAAUUAGAGAAUGUUUACUGUGGCAUCACAUAGACUAAUCAUGGAUUAAUUAGGCUCAAAAGAUUCGUCUCGUGAAUUAGUCCAAGAUUAUGGAUGAGUUUUAUUAAUAGUCUACAUUUAAUAUUUAUAAUUAGUGUCCAAACAUCCGAUGUGAUAGGGACUUAAAACUAUCUAAACAGGGUCUAGAGACCUAUCUGACACAGCUAUGCCAGUGUAAAGGUGCUAAUGUGAGCGCCCGUAGUUGCAUUUUACUAUUCAAAACAAAGUCAAAGCAGGAUAGUUUGGGACCCUUGCUACUUACCAAGUCUUUUUUCCCCUCUAUAUCAUGGGAAAGCAUGGAUAAUCCCAUCGCAACAAUCGUCUUAGCACUUUAGGUACAGAAUAUCGCUUUGACUGCUAUUUUAGUAUUUAAAUUUCAUUUUAGCUCCUUCAAAGAUUUGAGUAGGUGCUGAUGGUUUUUUAACUCCACUGUUGUUGUUAUGUAUGGUAAGAGAUAGUUUAGAAAGUUAUUUAGUCGGUUAGUAUUGGGACAGUUUGAGAGUCCUAGUUGGUUGGCACAUCUUAUUAUAUGAAAGGUAGCCUAGUCUUUGCUUAGGGAAUCAAAUAGUAUUCCAGAAAGGGUUUUGCCCAAAUCGCUUAGAAAUACACCUGUUGACAGGUCAAACAACAUGAGGGUGACCUGCCAGAAUUGGUAGGAUCAUAAACUUUGUUGUACAAGAGAAGCUCAUUUAAUUUAGAUAUCUUGGCAUGUGGCUGUCUAGGAAAUUAUUAGCUUUAGACAUUUCUUAUUUUUCCUGUGGAGAGUUAUUAUAUAAUUAUAAGUUUUGCAGGGUUCUAUUAUUGAAAUGACUGGCCCUAAGAGAGGCAUUGGUAUGGUUGCUGAUGUUAUAUUUGAGUUUGACAUGAGAAUCAAGAAUGGGGAGAAAGAAGAAGAUGAUCUACAGCUGAUUGAUGAAAUAAUAGAGAUCGACGACAACGUGGUAACGAUGAUAGGGACACCGAGGACAUUUCGACUUAGUGGCGAUUGUGGCCCUGUUGACAUGUCUAUGGCAAUUUUUGAUAAUGCUGUGGAAGCAACAGUAGAAGUUGCCAUAUCGGAACUUCAUUAUGGUUUUGAUUUAUCCAUAAGCUAUGUCCUUUCUGAGCUGGAAGAAAAUAGAGAAUUUCAGCUUUUCCGUGGUGCUAUUGGUGAGUCGUGUGGCUUAAGAAGGUUUGUCAUAGCUGUCAACUUGGACACUUUAAUGCAUUUGAAGUUCAAGGUACAUAAAGAAGGCUCCAAUUUUGUUGCUCCUUUGAAUCUAAGUUGCACGGAUGCGCCAGUCAAGAAAUAAAGCUCGAGGAAGCCUCUAUCCUAGUGAAGGUGACUUGGUCGCCUUUAAUUGCAUAAUUCAUAAACCCUGUAACUGGAUGGAUAAGCAGAGGCUUUUGCUUCUGUUUGAGCAGAAUAAUUUGUGGCCAUUAGAUUGCGAAAUGAGGCCAUAACAAUAAAAAUGAGCUACACUAAUAAAAAUGUACCUUCAGAGCUAACUCUACCACUUUCGCCACUGCAUGAAGGCUGACUUUCUUGUCAUGUAUUAAGAUCAAUCGGUCAUCUAGUUCCUGUAACAGAUAAAAUAAAUUACAACCAACAUAAUUUGACGUCAAAUAUUUCAUGAAACUUGGAUCAAAAUAUUCCAUUAGAUGUGCAGAGAAGACAUCAAAACAAAACAUGUAUUCCAUCAUAGCAAGUCAUAUGCAAGGAAUGGGUAUUCCUCGUGGAGUACAGACAAUGCAAAAAUCAACACUUCUUUUAGAUAAUGGAUAUCAUUCCAGCCUGUACAGUCCAGUUUUCCACAAGAGUCAAGAGUGUACACAGCCAAACGCAAAAAUCUACAAAGCUGAAUGAUUAGAGAACCCAAAGUAUGGUUAGAACACGGGUCGUAUGGACCAAAAAGGCAAGUUCCUCAAUCUGUAAAAUUAAAGGAAAGAAACUACAUGUAACAGCAAUAUGACAUAACUCUCAUAUAGAGGUUUCAAUUAAUAGCUAUGACAGAUUUAAGUUUCAGCCAACUCUUUUUAAGAUGAAAAAAAAGUCAAUACUAUAUAAUUGAUGGAAUAACAGUGCUGCAAAAAUGCCGAGUUGUCUAGACAUGAAGCCACACGACUCUAGACUGAAGGGAUUCAUGUGGCUUCAUGUUUGAGGGAUUCAUGUAAAACUAAACUAGCAUAGAAUGAACCUGCUCAGCUCUCUCUCUCUUCAAUGGCCUUCUUAAUUAUCUCCAGCUCCAUCAAGGAUCACUAUGUCAUCCUUAGAUACAGCUCUCUUGUUGGCUCAGCUGUUGGGCGAUCUCGCUCCUGGGCAGAGAUGCUAAAGCAGUGGAGCUCAGGGUGGACAGCAAGUCCGCUUUGGCCUUGGCGAAGAAUCUCAUCUUCCAUGAGCGCAGCAAGCACAUCCACAUCAAGUAUCAUUUCAUUCGGAGCUGCUUGGACGAGGGGAGCAUCAAGGCCAGCUACAUCAACACCAAGGAUCGGCUCACCGACCUUCUCACCAAGUCUCUUGGGCGGGUCAAGUUCCAGGAACUUUGCGCCAGGAUUGGAAUGGUUCAAAUUCCCCAGAAGGCGCCACACAAGACUUAGGGGGAGAAUAACAGAUUAAGGGUGUGUUUAGAUUCCAAAAAAUUUUGGCCAAAAAUAUCAAAUCAAAUGUUUAGACACAUGCAUAGAGCAUUAAAUGUGAACGAAAAAAAACCAAUUGCACAGUUUGCAUGUAAAUUGCGAGACGAAUCUUUUGAGCCUAAUUGCGCCAUGAUUUGACAAUAUGAUGCUACAGUAAACAUUUGCUAAUGACAGAUUAAUUAGGCUUAAUAAAUUCGUCUCGCAGUUUACAGGCGGAAUCUAUAACUUGUUUUGUUAUUAGUCUACAUUUAAUACUUCAAAUGUGUGUCCGUAUACAUCAAAAGAAUUUUAGAUGGGGAACUAAACACGGCCUAAGGCCUUGUUUAGAUUCUAACUUUUUUAUUCAAACUUCCAACUUUUCCGUCACAUCGAACUUUCCUACACACAUAAACUUUCAACUUUUUCGUCACAUCGUUCCAAUUUCUUCAAACUUCCAAUUUUGACGUGGAACUAAACACAGCCUAAGUCUUGUGUGUUUAGCAUCUAUUUUGGUAUUUGCAUAGCUACCUUUGGAUGUAAGCAAUCUCUUCUCAUAUGUAUCUAUGCUAGAGAUGGCAACGGGGAAUUCCCCGUCGGAGGUUACACCACCAGACCCGCCUCCGCGGAGGAGAAUUUUUCCCAUCACCAUCACCGUGAAAUGUAACGGGGCAACAUCUUUCACCAUCACCGCCUCCGUGCGGGUAAUUUCUCCCCGUGGAGCCUCCAUCCCCGCGAGUGUGAAGACGAGGCCAUGGCGGCGUCUAGCGGCUGGUCAUCGUUUUCCCCUUUCUUGCUGGUGGAUGGACGGAGGGUGGAGGACGGCGCUUGGACCUGGUGCGGGCGUGCGGCGGCGUCGGGGCGUGGCGGAGCAGCGAGCCAGUGGCCCUACACGGGCACGCCGGGACCUUGCGGCGCGGGCGCGCCGCGACCUGCCGGCGCGGGUGUGGCGAGCCGGCAGCCCUGCGCGGGCAAGCCUGGACCUGGCGGCGCGGCGAGCCGGCGACCUGGCGCGGACGCGCUGGGACCUGCCGGCGCGGGUGUGGAGAGCCGGCGGCCCUGCGCGGGCGCGCGGCGAGCCGACGACCUAGCGGCGCGGGUGCCGAGCGGCAGGCGCGCGGCGGGCCUGCCUACGAGAUCGGGAGUCGGCGCCGACGUGGGGACUAGGGAAGGAACACAGAAGGGAGAAGGAUUGGAAUGGCUAGGGUUUUGCAGAUGCUUUAUAUAUUCUUGGUGUUGGGCCUGGUUUCUAUGGGCCAGAUGGGCCAAAUAUGCAUGGUAAAACUACACAUACACUAUUAUGUCGGGCCUCCACGGAGAGCGGGGACGGGGGACGGUGAACCAGACCCGCCCCUGCCAGACCCGAUGGAGGGUGUUUUUACUCCGUUUAAUCCUCCGUGGAGACAAAUUUUAUACCACCCCCGCCUCCUAAUGGGAGGAUUCACCGCGGGGAAUCGGAGGACGGGGAACCAUUGCCAUCUCUAAUCUAUGCCUUAUGGUGUAAGCUACUAGCCCAUACACACACACACACCCCAACAGCCAUGUUGAAGUUUGAUGCUAAUGGAAAUGAAAAACUAGUCCCAAAACCUUUGUUCUUGUGCUAACAAUCUCCCCAAACCCAGGAGCUUUGACUGCACAAACCUGCAUUUUCACACAAUGAGACCAGAUAAUAUAUUAAUAAUGGGGGUCACAAAGAAAAAGGAGGGAUAGCACCAACCUUAAUGCCUGCACAAAGCUUGUUAAUAAUCAGAGUACCCAAUGCCUCACUUUCUAAAUCCUCUGCAACAAUAAGCAGAGGCCUUUGCUUCUGUUUUAGCAGAAAUUAUGGGCCAUCAGACUGCAGAUAGAAUAUUAAAUUGCAAAAUAAGGUCAUAACAACAAAAAUCAGCUUUACUAAUAAAAAAAUACCUUCAGAGCUAACUCCAACACUUUCGCCACAGCAUGAAGGUUGGACACUUCAUGUAUCAAGAUCAGUGGGUCAUCUAGUUCCUGUAACAUAUGAAAUAUAUUACAACCAAGAUAAUUUGUGUUAAAGAAGUCUAUUAACAUCAGCAGAAAUACUUACACAUUUCUGGUUCUUUUGGUUGGUAAUGAAGUAAGGAGAGAGAGCCUCUGUCAAGUUUCAUGCCUUCUACAACUUCAAGCUCAUUGUAGAGGGUCUUACCAUCCUAUCAAAUAUUUCAUGAAUCUUAGAUCAAAAUAUCAUGGCAUCCAUACAUAGGUUGAUCGAGCUUGCUAAAAGACUUGGCUAUGUUCGCUGCUGGCGAGUCUCCGCACGAAAAAUGGAGCGGUUCAUUAGCACGUGAUUAAUUUAGUAUUAGCUAUUUUUUAAAAAAAUAGAUCAAUAUGAUUUUUUAAACAACUGUCGUAUAGAAACUUUUUGCAAAAAACGCACCAUUUAGCAGUUUGAAAAGCAUACGCGCGAAAAGAGAGGGGUGAGUUGGGAAAGGGGGAUUCCGAACACAACCUAGGGCUGUGUUCUUCCCUCCAUUUUCCCAACCCACCUCUAUCGUUUUCCGCGCGCACGCUUUUCAAACUGCUAAACGGUGUGAUUUAUGUAAAAACUUUCUAUAUGAAAGUUGUUUAAAAAAAUUAUAUUAAUCUAUUUUUUAAAAAAUUAGUUAAUACUUAAUUAAUCAUGCAAUAAAAUAAACUUUGUUUUGCGUGCCGGAGAGGAGGGUUCCUAACCCCCUCCUCCGAACACAGUGUAUUCCAUGAUGCCUAGAGGAGACAACAAAAUAAAGCAAGUAUUCCAUCCAGUGGCGGAGCUAGAGCAACAUUGAGGGGGGUGCACCAUUGUACCAUAAGUUUAACCUUAUAUAUGUGGUGCUACAAUGAAGUAAUUAAUUUUAAGCAUCAAUAAUGCAAUAAAAGACUCACUGUAUUCCGGCCAAAAUAAUUCAAUAAACAAAAGUCCGGCCAAAAUAAUUCAAUAAACAAAAGUAGGUAAAAAAAUUGUAGCGAUAAAAAAGAGUUCUUACCAAAAUAGAGAACGUAAUGUCAAUAUUGAUUAUUAGAGUGUAAUUAAAAGAAAAGGUAAAGACUAAAAUCAUAAGGGCAUUCUGUUUAUUUGAUUUGAUUUUGAAGUGAUUAAUUAAGAAAAGUUGGAAGAGGCAAGCGCCGGGCUCUAUGCAUUGGCUAUUGUUGAUUUAUGGUGUGCAUGCAUUAGCAAGUAGUAGUAGUAUCAUUCUAUAGCACAGGGCUGCAAAUAUGCAGUCUCUUUUUGCCUUCUUGCUUUGUCUGCUUAAUUGAACUGAGGGGGUGCACAACUGACAAACAUAGGAUGACUAUAGAUAAUAGAUAAAAUGAUCUUUGGAACCGGGUGCCUGGGAACCCCCUCCCUCACUUUAGCUCGGCCCCUGAUUCCAUCACAGCUAGUCAUGCAAGAAACUAGCCUCAAGAAGGAAUAGGAAUUCCUCAUGGUAUAUAGACAACACAAAUAUAACAUGAGUGAACGACAAAAGAAACAGGGGCUGUAUGAAUCAAAAAAAGACAAGUUCUUCGAUAUAUAAAACUAAAAGGAAAAAAAACAUGUGUAAUAGCAAUAUGGCAUAACACUCAGUAUAGAAGAGUUAAUUCAUAGGUAUGACAGAUUUAAACUUCAGCCAGUUCUUUUUCAGAUGAAAAUAGGUGGUCAAUAUAAUAAAAUUGACGGGAUAAUAGUGCUGCAAAAAUGCCAAGUUGUCCAGAGCGUUUGACUCACCAUCUCUAGCAGUGGCGCGGAGACCGGCGGGAGGGUGUGGCGCGCGGCGGCCGGUGGGAGAGGAUCGGCGGCACACGCCCGGCCGGUGGGUGGGAGGAAGAGGAGCGGCGGCGCGCGCCGUGCCGGUGGAGAGGGCGGCCGACGGAGCGCCGCGAGGGAUGAGGCGAGCUCGUCAGGGCAGCCAACGGGAGAGGAGUAGCGGCGCGCGGGGGCCGGCGGGAGAGGAGGCAGCGCGCGCGCCGGCCGACGGGAGGUGGGCAGCGGGCGGCGACCUCGCACGUCACCACCGCACACCAUCUCCGAGCCGUCGCCUUGCUCCCGCCGUCUUCACCGCCGUCGCUCUGCUCCCUCCCUCGCCGACUACCCCUACGACACCGUGCCCAACAAGGUUGAGCACCUCUUCUUCGCCCAGCUCUACCGCGACCAAAAGCAGCGGGAGACGCGCAUGUCGAUGUCCAGGGCAGAGCGCGCACACGAGCUGUACGUGGACUACCUCAAGCCCAUCAUCACUGACGUGUCCAGGCUAUGGGAGUUGCUGGAGUGGAUACCGACGCCGGAGAUUGAGCGCCUCUGCGACGGCGUGCGGCUGGUGAAGAGAGGGGAAAGGAAAGAAGAAAGGAGUGAGGAUGAGGAAAAAGAGAGAGGGGAGAGGGAAGAAGGGAGAUGAGGCUGACACAUGGGGUUCACGUGGGCCUCACCAUUUUGAAUUAUUUUUUGUGUGUAACUGAUAUGUGGGGCCACGUUUUUAUUAUUUUUGGGAUCGGAUUGCCAUGUAAGAGCAUGCCCAACAGUCACCCAAUAUUUGAUUCCCAAAAAAUCUGAAUUAGGAAUUCCAAAAUAAGAAUUGGGCCCAACAAUCACCCCCUCCUCCAAGAGAGGCCCAAAAAUUAAUUCCCUAUCAUUUGUUAGUUUGCCACAUAAGCAAGGUGGGCCUAGUUCGGUACCGAUCGAUCGUCUCCCUCCCCGCACCAGCGCCGAGACUUCUCCCUCCCCGCACCUUCUCCCUCCCACACCAGCGCCGCCAUCUGUGUAAAUCGCAUCAUCACCAGCCAACCAGUGUCCUGAGUGCUGCGGUUUCUACAAAAACGGAAUACCAAGGAUAUGCCAUAGCUAUUCGUGUCAUCAAGGAGGUAAUCCCUAGCAAAUCCUAUUGAUCUCUUGUGCCCUAGUCAAUAUCUGUCUCUAUUUGGUUAUGUGGAUAUCUAUUGUUGGAAAAUAUUAAGUUUGAUCUAAUAAUUAAUUUUAUAGAUUGAUUAUUGUUGUAUUCCUGCCAUCGGUUCUCUCCAUUGCACUUCAUCCCUGUGGUAAACGCUCCAACCCUGUGGCAAUAAAAAAGAGAAGAUGAGUCGUCGAAGUACCCUCCUCCAAAUGCUAUUGGAUGAGGAGUCUUUAUCGGAUGGCGACGAAGAAUUUAUUUCUUUGGCGGUUGAUAUAGUGCACGAUGAGUUCGACGAUGAUGAAGUUCCAAAGCGUGGUGGAUCUGUUAUAGGUCAUGCAGUAAUUAAUCGGGAAAGAUUGGCUGGACAUCGGAGAUUAUAUAAUGAUUAUUUUUCUGAAGAACCUACGUACCUCGAUGUUCAGUUUAGACACAGGUUUGUAGCAGUGCUUUGUUUUGACAAUAUUUGUUUGCAAAAUUGAUAUUAAAGAUAAUUAAUAUCGUUAAUUACUAUGCAGGUUUAGAAUGAGACGACCUCUGUUUUUACGCAUAAUGAAUGCUAUAGAAGCACAUGAUGAAUAUUUUGUACAGAAGAGAAAUGUGGCUGGUGUGCUUGGACUGUCAUGUUUGCAAAAGGUAACAGCAGUGUCACGUAUGUUAUGUUAUGGAAUAGCGGCAGAUGCAGUUGAUGAGUAUGUUCGUAUUGGAGGUAGUACCGUUAUUGAGAGUUUUAACAGGUUUGUGGUGGCUAUUGAUGAAGUUUUUGGAGAGGAGUAUUUAAGAACACCAAACGAGAACGACAUAGCUAGAUUACUUGCUCAGGGGGAAGAAAGAGGGUUCCCAGGAAUGUUGGGUUCUUUAGAUUGUAUGCAUUGGCAGUGGAAGAACUGCCCGACUGCAUGGCAAGGCCAGUAUAAAGGGAAAGAGGGAGUUCCUACUAUAGUUUUAGAAGCUGUUGCCUCACGUGACCGAUGGUUUUGGCAUGCGUUCUUCGGUUCACCUGGAUCUCACAAUGAUAUUAAUGUCCUUCAACGCUCACCGCUGUUUGCAAAGCUAGCUGAAGGGCAGGCUCCUAAAGUUAAUUAUAGUAUUAACGGGCACGACUACACUAUGGGGUACUAUCUUGCAGAUGGUAUUUAUCCUUCAUGGGCAACACUUGUGAAGAGCAUUAAGCUGCCACAAGGAAAUAAGAGAAAAUAUUUUAGCAAAGCACAAGAAGCUGCUAGGAAGGAUGUUGAACAAGCAUUUGGAGUGCUUCAAGCUCGCUUUGCUAUAGUCCGUGGACCAGCUCGUUUUUGGAAAGCACUUACUCUGAAUCAGAUAAUGAGAGCUUGUAUAAUCAUGAAUAACAUGAUUGUGGAGGACGAGCGCGAUGGUGAUUUUGAUCUAGUUUAUGAUGAGAUGGGAGAACAGGUGGGUGGUUCCCAUGAACGUACGACCAACUUUAAUGAUUUUAUUAGUCAGUACGAAAAAAUUCAAGACAAGGAAGUUCACAACCAACUAAGGGAAGACCUCAUCGAACAUUUGUGGAAUCAUCAUGCAGACCGAUAUUAAUUUUACAUUAUAUAUUCUUAUAGAUAAUGUCAUAGAUUGUAAUAAUUGGAGAUUCACAGCUUGUUUUUAAAUUAGUACAUAUUGAGCUUAUAGUAAUUAUUUAUUGACAAUGUGAUUUAUUGUUGAAUUCGAUACAGUACAAUAGACUGAAAAGGACAGCAGUGCAUAUCCUUUUUCAGGACUGGAUAUAUAUACAGGAUAUACACCACAAGGGUGUACAUCAGAAUAUGCACUGCUACAUAUGCAAGCCGAUGAUAAAUUCUGGCAUUUUUGCUACAUAUGCAAGUCCAUGAACUCUUUGCAUAUUGCUUUUGUUUUGCAUUAUGUGUAGUGCGAAUAGCACUUGUCAGGGUAGCAUCAGAGAAAUGAGAGACAGGAAAAGAUGGUCCCAUAGUGUAAACUCUGAAAAUCUGAACUUUAGGCCAUUCAAAGUAUUUCAGAAGGUAGGCACUUCACCUUGCGAUUUAUAAGACUAGCUCUGAUACUGGGGAGUUAAGGGAUCAGCUUGCUAGCGCCUUUUCACAGUUUUAUUCACAAACUGAACCUGCUGGUAAUCAAUCUUCCUCAGUGGAGGAUGAGGGACUUACUGGUGCCAUAACUGAAGGUUUUACAUGCCAAUCAUCAUCGAACAUUGCUACUAGUUCUGACAGUUACUUUAAUGGACUGAAACUUAUUUCAACCCUUGUAAAAUUGAUGCCUGAAUGGCUCUGUAACAACCGGGUUAUUUCAGCACUAGUGGACAACAUGGACUGAAAAUGCACACUAUCAGUAACAGGGCCAUUUGAGAUGAAGAAGCAAUUCCAUCAGCAACAAUUUCCAGCAAUUUUGAACAAAAAAACAAUUUCCAGCAAUUUUGUAGUAGUAGCAAAUGCUCCGGCUACAUAAAACAGUACCAAAACAAGAUAGUAAAAUUUACUAGUCCAUUAAGUAGACUCUAUAGCUAAAGAUCUAACAAAUUUUGAAUGCUAAUUGAUGAGUAAUAAGACUAAUUUAUGCUUGAGCUGAACGACGACUUAGAAUUUGAUUCUUCACAUUUUUAUAGUACUCCUGCUCCUCGAUGCUCAUUGCACUAGUAUCAGUCCUCAAAAGCUUAUCUUCUUUUGUCAUUCUCUUGAACUCGAACUUGUCUCUCUCCAAAUCAAUCCGCUUUUGCUCAAGUGCAAAAGCAAUUUGGUACCUCUCCUCAAACUUUCGCUCCUUCUCCGCAUCGGCCUCUUUCUUCUUAUCCCAUAGAUAGUCUAAGGACUCUUUCCGUGAUAGAUCCGAGCGUUCGCGCAUCUGUUGUUUCGCCUUCUUCCUCCCCAUGGGUCUUCCCUCACCUACUGUAUUCUCAGGAUCAGCAGCCCUAUUCUCAUCAACAUUACAUGCAGGAGUAGAUAUCGCAGGAGAAUCAUUGGCGGUCUUCUUCUGCUUCUUGCUUGAAGUUUUACUAGCUGCCAGCUGAUUCCGCUUAUCAUCCCACUUUGGCAGAUUCUUUAAAAUGUUGUAGCAAUGCAUGAACUGAAACUUCUUUUCCUCUUUCUUCUUGUACAUCAGGCUUGCUUGCACAUGCUGCAAAUAAAUGAACUGAAGUCAGAAACAUAAAGGAGACGAUUGGAAAAUAAGCAACACAAGCAAUAUAUUACCAUGUCCUCAUGAUUGACACCACUCUGAUUUCGAUUCUGAAUCUGACUUAAGAAACCACAAUACUUAUUGACAUGUUCUUGUAUAGUGGACCAACGAUGUACAAGUGAACUUUGGGAGCGAUCUGAUUCGAAUUCCUUGUUCUGAUGAAAGUAGUCAUGAAUACGUCCCCAAUAUGUACCGUGAGAUUGAUCCGUCCCUUGAACCGGAUCGAAAGAAACAUUUAUCCACGCCGACACCAAAAGAUUGUCCUCCUCCAAACUGAAAUUUUUUGAUCUUUUUUGGUUCGGUCUCACAGCAACAUUUUCAUUCACAACUGGUUCUUGUUCAUCAUCAUACUGGCUUCCCAUCUCACUCGAGCCAAAAUGGUUGCUCUCAUCAUUGAUCAAGUUUGUGUAAUAUCGCUCUCGCUCCAUAUCAUCUGUCCAUAGAUAAAAAAUCAUAACCUUGUACUUGAGAAAAAAAAAGACUAACAAAAGACAAACAAGUGAUAAUUUCUGGACAAAAAAUGCAUUCUGUUAUCUGAAAGUUCACAUGUAAUGGAUGGUGACAACUUUGUGUACACAUAAUAUUAAUCAAAAGCUGUGCAUUCGCAUGGAGAGAGCACACAAAUGUUGCUAAUUUGGAUACUGAAAAUGACAAGGUUCAUAGAAAUGUUCCUAUAUCGAUCCUGACAGCGACAAGGUUCAGAUAACUGUUCAACAGGUCAAAUUUCAGAGCAUCGUAUAUGAAACUCAGUACAUACUGAAUUUCCAUUGUGUCAAACUCAGAGCAUAAAUUUGAUAGCAUAUUAUACUCACUACAUAGUGUCAAACUGAAAUUCCAGCACAACACCACUGACUAUUCUUUCCUGCAUGCUGUACAUACCCUAUAUACUUCUGGACAUAAAUGCAGGAUAUACACCACAGUGAAUUACAUCAGCACAUACAGCAGACAUACCCUUGUUCAAGUCAGGCAAUUUUGCUACAAUUGCAAGCAUACACAAAAGAACAUGAUGAAAAUUUCUGAAAAUGCAACCUCUAUCAGAUAGUAUAAAUUAGACAAUACUAUCCAGAUUGAAGAAAAAAAAAGAAAGCACAAUCAAGAAAGCUUCAGAUGUGAAGGAAUUCAGAGCAUGUAAACUAAACACUGAACAAAUCAGGAUUGGACUUACCGAAAUUGUUCAUGUGGAGGAAUUCUUCGUCACCUACAGUCCAUACUCUGGAGGAACUGCCGAUAGAAGCUUCGUGUGAGAGGGGAUCCAAUGGCUCGCUAGAUGUCAGCUUCUCCAUGGCCUCGGAUGCCUGAAAACCGGAGUAGCGUUGUGGAGGGCGCGCAUGGCCGGCGGGCGGCGGUGGGGGGCGCGCAUGGCCGCCGGGCGGCGGUGGGGGCCGCGCAUGGCCGCCGGGCGGCGGUGUGGGGCGCGGAUGGCCGCCAGGCGGUGGUGGAGGGCACGGAUGGCCGCCGGGCCAGAACUCGCCGUACCGCGGAAACGGCAUACCUCCGGCCGUCAUCGGGACACCACGCCCCGUGCCUUGCAAAAGGGAAAAGGGAGCUGCCGCCGAUGAAGAGGACGCCGCCGCCGAGGAAGAGGGUGCCCCCACCGAGGAAGAAGGUGUAGCCGCCGAGGAGCGAGGGCGCGGAGAAGGCUUCGCCGCUGAGGAGCGAGGGCGCGGAGAAGUGCGCGGGAACAUUUUCCCUUUGCGCGCGCGAGAGACUGCUUUGCGCGCGAGAGAGACCGACGAGGAAAUAUUGGGAACAAAAUCGCUUCCCUGUUUGUGAGGAACGAUAUAUGCGGACUGAGGAACCAGAGAUAUUGGGAUAUUAGUUAGAGAAUCUGUUGGAUCUGUUUCUUGAUCAAAAUUCCCUAAAUCACAGGAUAGGGAAUUGAAAAAGGAAGCUGUUGGGCAUGCUCUAAGUGCCAUAUCAAAUGCCAAAUGGAACAAAGACCAAGUCAAACCAACCACGUUGGAGCCACAUCAACCAAAACCGUUUUCCAAACCGCUGAAGGACCUCGUUUGCACUGGUUUUGACAGUUUAGGGACGUAUCUGGUUUUAGGAUUGAAGGAUGAAAAUCGGAUUCGGUAUAAAGUUAAGAGACCUGGGAUGAACUUAUUUCAUUCGUAAACGAUCCUCCCUUACUGAGCUAUGUAAAUGGGCCUCCCAGCGUAAUGGGCCACGACUCUGACAAGCUCCUUGCUCGAUUUUUUGGAGGAAAAGUCCCCUUAAGUUUCAUUCGCAUCCAUCAAUCGUACACCCGUGCACAAGUCCCCUAACUUUUAAAACCAAAUCAAUUUACAUCUUUAGAAUUGUGCAUCCCAUUGAAUAAAAAAUUUUGAAGAUUGUCUUUAAAGAAGAUUAGACAUCAGUUGAAUAAAAGAUUUUGAAGAUUGUCUUUUAAAGAAGAUUAGACAUCAGUUAAUCCUGACUUCGCAUAAUUUUACCAGGUUGACUCAUCUGCUCGUGUCGUUCCAACCUGUAUUAAAUAGAAAGGUCAUUCGUUCGUUGGUUCAACGGGCCAUUUCUUGCCGCGGUAAUAUGACCGAACUGAGUCUUAAUCGAGAGGUGAGCGUUGAUUAUUUCAGUAGUUAUCUCUAUUUUACAUUUUGUUCGACAUCGCCAAUUACGAGUUUUCAAAACGAUAUAAAUUUAUUUCUCACUAUAAAUUAACAGUUGUCGAUUUGAAAAUGCGAACAAAAAAACAAACGAAGUACUUCAUAGAGAUAUAGCGGCGGUUCUUGCAAGUGAGAUCCAAUCUCAAACAAUCCAAAAGCCUAAAUCAGCAAAAAAAAAAAGACAAAAUUGCUCUGGCCAUAAAUCUGAGCCCAAAAUCAAGACCCAAUCAAAACAAAAGAUUGCUCUGGCCAUAAAUCUGAGCCCAAAAUCAAGACCCAAUCAAAACAAAAGAUACAAUCAAGAAAGUGGAUGUAGCAGCUUGUUCGAGGCCGUCACAAAACAGAGAAAAUCUGAGCGGCACGGAGAACUGCGUUUGUUCGUUGUCGCCAACCUUCAAUGCAAAGAUAGCCACUGCAUCUGGCCCCUUUGCUCUGCAAAUUGGCUUUCUUC